rnacentral:rRNA from 1 species
GAUGAACGCUGGCGGCGUGCCUAAUACAUGCAAGUCGAGCGAACAGACGAGGAGCUUGCUCCUCUGACGUUAGCGGCGGACGGGUGAGUAACACGUGGAUAAUCUACCUAUAAGACUGGGAUAACUUCGGGAAACCGGAGCUAAUACCGGAUAAUAUAUUGAACCGCAAGGUUCAAUAGUGAAAGACGGUUUUGCUGUCACUUAUAGAUGGAUCCGCGCCGCAUUAGCUAGUUGGUAAGGUAACGGCUUACCAAGGCAACGAUGCGUAGCCGACCUGAGAGGGUGAUCGGCCACACUGGAACUGAGACACGGUCCAGACUCCUACGGGAGGCAGCAGUAGGGAAUCUUCCGCAAUGGGCGAAAGCUUGACGGAGCAACGCCGCGUGAGUGAUGAAGGUCUUCGGAUCGUAAAACUCUGUUAUUAGGGAAGAACAAAUGUGUAAGUAACUAUGCACGUCUUGACGGUACCUAAUCAGAAAGCCACGGCUAACUACGUG